GACAGAGGGUGCAAACGUUGUUCGGAAUUACUGGGCGUAAAGCGCGUGUAGGCUGUGCGGAAAGUCGGGUGUGAAAGCCCUGGGCUCAACCUAGGAAGUGCACUCGAAACUUCCGCACUGGAGUCUUGGAGAGGGAAGUGGAAUUCUGGGUGUAGAGGUGAAAUUCGUAGAUAUCCAGAGGAACACCGGUGGCGAAGGCGGCUUCCUGGACAAUGACUGACGCUGAGACGCGAAAGCGUGGGGAGCAAACAGGAUUAGAAACCCUUGUAGU
rnacentral:rRNA from 1 species